GGACCAAGGAGUCUAGCAUGUGCGCGAGUCAUUGGGACAAUCGAAUCCUAAAGGCGCAAUGAAAGUGAAUGUGAGCCUAGUGCUCUCAGAGGGAGGAUGGGUGAUGCAAAUCGCCUCGCACUCCCAGGGCGUCUCGUUCUCAUUGCGAGAUGAGGCGCACCUAGAGCGUACGCGCUAUGACCC
rnacentral:rRNA from 1 species